UAAGACAGAGGGUGCAAACGUUGCUCGGAAUCACUGGGCGUAAAGCGCAUGUAGGCGGGUUGGUAAGCCAGAUGUGAAAUCCCUAAGCUCAACUUAGGAACUGCAUUUGGAACUGCCAGUCUUGAGUAGUGGAGAGGAAAGUGGAAUUCCUGGUGUAGAGGUGAAAUUCGUAGAUAUCAGGAGGAACACCGGUGGCGAAGGCGGCUUUCUGGACACUAACUGACGCUGAGAUGCGAAAGCGUGGGGAGCAAACAGG
rnacentral:rRNA from 1 species